UCAGAAUGAGUAAACUAGACGAGAGCUGGUUUAAUGGAUGAUCUACCAGGAAAGAACUGGUAUUUGGUAAAUGAUUUCUCAUACGAUAAUUGGGCUUUAAAAUGAAAUGUCAGACGAGAACUUGACUUUGGAAAUGGUUUUCCAGCUGGGAGUUGGACUUUAGAAAUGAUUUUCCAAAUGAGAACUGGACUUAGAAAUUUCUAACGAGAACUGGACUUUGAAAUAAACCGUCAGACAAGAAUAGACUUUAAAAUAGGCUACCAAAUGAGAAUUG
rnacentral:lncRNA from 1 species